AACGAACGCUGGCGGCGUGCCUAACACAUGCAAGUCGAACGAGAAAGGGGCUUCGGCUCCGAGUAAAGUGGCGCACGGGUGAGUAACACGUGGGUAACCUGCCUCUAAGAUUGGGAUAACUCGUCGAAAGAUGAGCUAAUACCGGAUAAGACCACAGUUCCCGCGGGAACAGGGGUCAAAGGUAGCCUCUGCUUGCAAGCUAUCACUUAGAGAUGGGCCUGCGCACCAUUAGCUAGUUGGUAGGGUAACGGCCUACCAAGGCAAAGAUGGUUAGCUGGUCUGAGGGGAUGAGCAGCCACACUGGAACUGAGGCACGGUCCAGACUCCUACGGGAGGCAGCAGUGGGGAAUAUUGCGCAAUGGGCGAAAGCUUGACGCAGCAACGCCGCGUGAGUGAUGAAGGCCUUCGGGUCGUAAAGCUCUGUCGGGAGGAACGAAUGCUCCCAAGGUUAACAGCCUCGGGAGGUGACGGUACCUUCAAAGGAAGCACCGGCUAACUCUGUGCCAGCCGCCGCAGUAAAAC
rnacentral:rRNA from 1 species